rnacentral:rRNA from 1 species
ACAAGCCAUGCAUGCCCGCACACCCGGGAAGCGGCGGACGGCUCAGGACAACGGUUGCACCCCCCGCGGCGGUCCCUGCUAGCCGGACACCGCUGGCAACCCGGCGCCAAGACGUGCGCGCAAGUGCGGACGCCCGCGGG